AUUUAAAUAGUUUAUUAAAAAUUUUGAUUUGUGGAGUCAAAGAUAUGAGCAAUCAUUUUAGAUA
rnacentral:tRNA from 1 species